GAUGAAGAACGUAGCGAAAUGCGAUAAGUAGUGUGAAUUGCAGAAUUCAGUGAAUCAUCGAAUCUUUGAACGCACAUUGCGCCCCUUGGUAUUCCAUGGGGCAUGCCUGUACGAGCGUCAUUUGUACCUUCAAGCUUUGCUUGGUGUUGGGUGUUUGUCCUGAGGGACUCGCCUUAAAGUAAUUGGCAGCCAGUGUUUUGGUUUUGAAGCGCAGCACAAGUCGCGAUUCAAGGCUAUACGCCAGCUUCCACAAGCCUUUUUCACUUUUGACCUCGGAUCAGGUAGGGAUACCCGCUGAACUUAAGCAUAUCAAUAAGCGGAGGA
rnacentral:misc_RNA from 1 species